GGACAAAGUGGCUCACUAGAGGAAUCCUUGAAUUUUUAUGGCAUAGUUCCACUUCCUGUUUGCUCUCUGCUUUCAAACUAUAAACACAAUGUAACCAGCCAAUUUCUGUUCCUAUAGCCAUGUAUUCUAUGCUUUUAAGAGAAUGUAUUCUUUUAAAGUGUAAACCAAAACAAACCCUUCCUUGACUGCUUCUUACCAGGCAUUUUUGUCACAGGGACAAGAAAAGUAACUAAUAUUGCAGGUGCAUCUAGGCAUAGGUGUUUUUUGCUUGAUGAGUGAAUGCUCUGCAAUAAGCAUGACAGGCACUCAUGAUGAAGGACAUAGGUUUAAUGGGAAUCAGAGUCUUCAUGACAAUGUAGUAUCUUUGGAAGAUCAGAAUAAGCAUUAUUUACUUAGAGGCUGUUGAGAAAACAAGCCAAUUGAAGCAAAGACCACAAGAAUGUAGAUGAUGAUGUAUUUGCAUGUUAUUUUAACCAGGAAGACAGUCAUCACUUGUCCCCAUGCCCUCACUGGGCUUAUGUUUAGACUGUACUACAAAGUACAGAGAAAGUCUAAGGAACUUGAUAAUCAAUCCAGACUCCCACAUUCAAACUGAGGUUUCUGAUUAUGUGUGGUUGCUCUAUUCUGUCCUGUCCCUUUCCACAGAAACAGCAAAGUAUGGUCAUAGGGCCUGGCUGAGAGGAGCAGAAAUCUGUAAGUAAGUCUAAACUACUCCUGUCUUGGCUUGCUAGGUCUAUACUGGAUGAAGACCCUAGAACAGAAGACCUCCCUGAAUAGAAGUUGGGAGAGGAGUCAGUGAGGUUUUUGCCGAGCCCCAAGAAUGGUUGCUCUUCAGGUACUGUAGUUCCCUUGUAAAGGAUGUAAGGACUGUGGAAAAAUCAUGCCAUAUCAUCAAUGACAACUAAGGAAAAUGGCUUAAAUGUUCAGAGCCAUGGUAUUCUUAUAAUAGGAACAUGGUAGGUUCUCUGGCCUAUAAACAGAAUUAAGUCAUUAAAAGUACUCUGAUUUACUCCCUCAAACAGAGUGAUGACUCUAUAAAAUAUUUCUAAGGUGGUGAUAAAAUUGCUCAUAUGUGUGAAGGUUUACAAAGAAAGUAUAUGGGCUCCUCAGAAAAGAAUUCCUACCUUAUUCACAUCAACAUUAUUGUCAUUUCAAAUACUGGAACAUAGCCUGCUGGGGCCUUUGUGGACUAUGUUGUUCCCUAAUGCAGCAUCUCUAACAUCUUGAGACUUUCCAUAAUGGCCUAUUACUCAACAUUCAUGUUUAAACUCAAGUGACACCUCAGAGAUACUGUCCUAGUUUCAUUUCUGUGACUGUGAUGAAGCAUACCGACAUCAAACAACUUAGGCGAGGAAGAGGUUUAUUUCAGGUUACAAAAAUUAGGUUACAGUUCAUCAUUACUGGGGAAGAUGGGGGCAGGAACUUCAAACAACUAGUUAUGUCAUGUAGACAGCGAAGAGCAGAGAGAGAUGAAUGUAUGCGUGCUGGCUUGCUUCCUGGUGCUAAGCUCAACUUCUACCCAUACAUUUAAGUACUUCUGCCUAUGGAAUGGUGAACGGGCUCUUUGCACCUCAAUUAAGUUAUUUAAGACAAUUCUCAUAGAAAUAUCCAUAGGCUAAUCCAACAUAGACAACAACCUUUCAUUGAGGCUAUUUUCCUGGUGUUUUUAGUUAGUGUGAAAUUGACAAUUGCACUCAACCACAACAAAGACCCCAGAUAACUUUUCAAAAAUCAAAUCUCAUCUCUUAAUUUAUCUCUUCAGCAUUGUUCUUUUUAAACUUUUCUUGUAUUUAUCAGCACCAUGGCUGAUGCCUGUGCACCUGCACAGAAUAAGUGCCCCAUAGAUAUUUGUUAAUCUUGAUGGCUGCUUGAUUGGUGAGUUGGGACAGCAUGCCCAAACGAAAAAUAACUCUAGUAGCUUCAGUCAAGAGACACCUGCCAUGUUUCAAGAUAAGGAAAUCUCAAGCAAAUUUCACUCAGAAUGACAACAUUUACUUUACAGAGAAACUCGAUCUCUCUCUUUCUUCUGCCUUUCCUCCUCACCUUCAGAGUAAGGACAAACCAAAAGGAUGGGUGUCUUUGAAUAUUAUACUCAAUUUUUUUUUCGCUUAAGUAAAAUCAAAACUUUGACGGGAAAAACUACACAUUUUAGAUGUAACUUACAUGUACAAAGCCAAAUGAAAUGAACUGUUUCAAAAGAAUUAUGUAUUUAUUUCAUGAAUAUGAGCACACUGUAGCUGUCUUCAGACAAACCAAAAGAGGGCAUCGGAUCCCAUUACAGAUGGUUGUGAGCCACCAUGUGGCUGCUGGGAAUUGAACUCAGGAUUGGUGGAGGAACCUGUGGUCUUAACUGCUGAGCUAUUUCUCCAGUCCCAAUGAACUUUUUUUUCCAAUCAACAACUUACUACUUCUCUUUCUUACUUCUGAUGUGUAAAAUGAAGAAAUUCCUCCAAGUUAUGGGACACUUGUAUUUCUUAUAAUAUGCUUGUAGAAUUUUGUUGGUCCUAAUACUUGAACAAAAUCCAGAAGAUUACUCAGGGGUAUACACAUGUUCUACAGAUGUUUAAACUGUCAUUUAAAGAUUAGAGCGUCAGUCUUUAAACAGUCAGUAAAACAAGGCUUUGUUAAGUAAUAGUCUGAACAGAAAGGAGGUCAUUUCAAGUAUAUCCUUCCUGAUCUGACUGUGUGAAAUUAUUGCUCUAACAUUUACAUGGUGUUUUCAAGUCAAUGCAAUAUACUUUUAAAAAUAUUUAUGUUCUGUCAUUUUAAUUUCAAAUUUCUAUUUUUAUAGGCAAACUACAAGUUUGUAGAAAAAUGUUAUCCCCUUUCUUCCCAGCUAGUCAUGCUGUGAAGCAACCUGUUUCGCUGUUUAAACCUGUGUUUGUUCUGUUUCAAUUGUGCAGAAGGAAACAGUUUUGACACCUUUAAAAAAAAUCAAAGAUCUAUCACUCACCAGGACAGCAUAGCAACUGCACGAAAGGAAAUCAUGAGGGAUAGCAAAAAAGCAACAGGGUUUCUAAAAUGUUAGCAGGUUUACCGAUUACCUGGGGAAUCUUGUAAAAAUUGAGAUUUUCCUGGGUCCCUCUGUCUUUUAUGGAGCCCAGGACUCAGCAUUUCAAAUACUUCAUGGGUGACAAUAUUAGUUCUUGGAGCCUAGAGAUGAUACCGUUCAAGACACAAGAAAUAAAAGUCACCUGAUGGCAUUUAGUAUUUACAAGGGAAGUGACAUCAAACAAGUGCAGUUGCUUUUAGACUUCAGAAACAACUGUAAAUCCUCCAAGUCCCACCAACACAGGGAGCUUAUUUCUCUAUGCCUUGAGUCAGGCUGAUCAGAUGACUAGCUUUGGUCAAGAGAUAGCAACAUCUGCUUGCUGCUGCAUCUGGAAAAGAGCAUAAAUGUAACGAGAUCUCUCUUGCUGUCCUUGGAAGCCUAUAGUCCCAGAGAAGUGUACCUGAGCUCACAUGAUGGAAAAUGAGGCACUGUGGAAAAGAACAGUUACCCCAGCUAUGGCAAAAAAGGUAGCCACAGCUAAUAACAUGCCAACUACCAUCUCUGAGUGAAACCAUCGUGGAUCUUCCUGUCUCUGGCAAACACUUGUGUAAACAGAGCUGACCUCAUUGAACCAGCUAACCUCAACUGUGCACAGAGAUUGGAGUGAAACAUAAUCACUAUUGUUUUAAGGAUCCCACAUUUGGAUGUUUUUGUUUCUUGUUGUUUAAAGAAUCAGUAAAUCCUUGUGCUUAUGAUUCCAUUUUCUUUUUGCCUUCAAUCUCUAUUUUCUGUUUUACUCUUAAAUAAUGGCAGUUGAUAUAAGUAAUUAUUAUAAUGGCAUUUGAUCCCUUUUUAAAUGCCAUAAUUAAGUUGCUUUUUCUCCUAUUUUACAACCUUGAAGAUGUAGACAACCUUGUUAAAUAGUAGGACAGUUUCUCCUUCAUAGAAAGAGGAAUCUCAAAAUUUCUUUUCAGUAAGCAAUAGAUGUUUCAAAUUCUUCUUGCCAACAGGAUAAAUAUAGCAUUUUCUUUUGAAGGACAUGUCUAACCAUUACCUUGUUUCAUAUUUGAGAAAGUAGAAUAAGGUCUAUCCAUAAAGGGACAAUCUUAGGCAGGGAAGACACAUCAGUGACACUCUUGGGGAAGAAUACACACAGCACCGUUCUGUCACUAACAGAUUCCUUUCUUGGCCAACAGUGUGGCUACAAGGCUUCUUUGUGCUGGUUUAUCCAAUUAGACAUCUCUUACAGGGCUGGUGACCCUUGACCAUCUGGAUUUGUUCCUAAACCUAUCAGGCUGAAGUAUAUUUUUUCUUUCAUACUUUGCCCCAUGAAAUAAUAUUAAUAAAAUUUCAAUAGUUGUGCUUACUUGUGAGAGGACCCUUGCUAUAAGCAGUUUUACAAUAAUUAAACUCUCCCUCAUUUAGCUUUCACUUCCUCCUCUUCUUCAAGUUUGAGAAUUAUCAAUUUAAAGAAAGGCUCUACUUUAGGGGCAGGGGUUGUGUUUCAUGCUGAAAACUGAAUAAACCCUAGCUUAAUAGAAGAAAAGUUUGUUUUAAGAAUAACUUUUGAGAAACAGGGCUUGAGAGAUGACUCUGUGGUUAAGUAGUUAUUGCUUGUUUUCUAGAGGACCUGGGUUUGGUUCCAAGUAAUAUCAAGUUACUCACAGCUAUGUGUAAAUUCAGCUCUAGGGGAUCUCAUGUCCCUUUAUGGCCUCGGAAGGAACUCAAUGACAAAUGGCAUAGACACAUACUCAUAUUGAUAUAUCCAUAUGCACAUAAGUAAAAAUAAAUCUUAAAAACCAUCUUGGGUUGGAUAGUUGAUUUAGUUGUUAUGAACACUUAUUGUUGCAAAGGACCAGGACUCAGUUCCCAGCAUCCCUAUGGAGGUUCACUACGUCCUUGGGCACCAGGCACAUAUUGUGAUACAAAUAUGUACACACAGGCAAAAUAUUCACAAACAUAAAAUAGUAAAAAUAAAUCUAAAAAACCACUUUAAAAAAACAACCGAUGGAAGCAGAUAAAGGGGAGAAGGCUUUAUUUUGUGGUCACUGUGCAUCUCUAUGCUACUAACUGAACUGUGAGUUCUGAUGGGUACCAGUCUCAUUUAACCUUUCUCACUGGAGAUUUAUUUAUAUCCUCAGCAAUAUAAUCCACAAGCACUUUGCGGGGACUCCCUCAUCUGCAGCUCCCUUUAUAACACACAUCCAGAUCUUCAGCUGCUCACUCUUAGCAAUCAUACCUCCAUUGCCUUUUUUCAAGAUACUCAUGUUUAUUAAAAUUAUCUUACCUUACUUCUCAUGGGGAAAAUGCCACUUGAAAAACCCUCAUCUCCAAUGCAGAACAAUCAUUGCAUUUGCCCUGCCCUGCUUCAAUGUUAAUUCAUUCUGACCAAUGUAUUGCCUUAUUGAAACAGAUAGUGUGGCCUCCAACUGCCCUCCUGGCUUCCUGUAGCCUUUUCUUGUUCUUCAUGUUCAUGAACAUCAUCAGAAAUACAUUUCUUGCACUUACAUUUCAGAACUCAAAUGUCAGACUAAAAGUCUGCUCAACCAAGCUCUAAAUCCAGUCUUACGGCUUCUUGCUCUCUUUGCCUUCUGUGUCUAUAGGACUCAUACUCAGUGCAUCCUAGCAGAGGCCACAGUUUUCUCUACUUAUUCUACUAACUGGAAUUAAUCUUGUCUCCUGACUAACCCAGGUAAUGCAUCCCUUCCCCCUUUCUCUCUGUAUCUCUGAGCACCCCCCACUCUGUGUGUAUGUGUGUGUGUGUGUGUGUGUGUCUUUGUGUCUGUGUGUCUCUGUGUCUGUGUGCUAUGUUUGUUUCUGUGUGUGUGUGUAGGUACGCAUAUGUCAAAUGGUUCUGUAUAGAUGGAGGACAAUUUCCAUGUGUUGGGCCAUGUUCUUUUUCCACCUGGACUGUGACAGGGUGUCUUAGCUGAGACUGAGCAUGCCAGGCUAACUAGCCUAUGAGCUUCUGAAAGUUCUCUUGUGUCUGCCUCCCAUCUCCCUGUAGGGACACACUGGGAUUAUAGAUGCUUUUAAUGCUAUGACUGACUUUAAAAUGAAUUCUUGUGAUCCAGACUCAGGAUAUUAGGAAGGCAUAGCAAGCAAAGUUUUACCCAGUCACAUUUUUUAUCCAUAUUCUCGGACCCUCUUUUUUCCCUUGAGUUUCUCUACCUGAUCGCAUUCAACUAGUUAGAUUUCUCCAAGUACAGCCAUAGUUUAUUCCCCUCUCAUUAUAUAGACCACACAGUUUUGUUUGGACAGCCCCUUUCAGGUUCAAGGAGCAUUGAAAGUAGGGGCCAAAUUUCACUUACUGCAUAUUCUCAACUGAUCCUAAACCUAAAACAGACUAACAAAAACAAAUAAUGGCAGCAAAAAUAUUGUGAUAAAUAAUUAAAAGGCAUUCCUGGUCGAAGACUAAGAAGUCAUUCCUAAGAAUUGGGGUCAUUUGAAGGAGGAUAUAAAUUAAUCUGAAUGUGCUGGAAUUCCACAUAGGGCUCAUGGAAUGGAUGGGGGCAGGGAAUUCCAUACAAAGUAGAUAUGUGAAAGGAAUCCAUGCAGAGGACAUAAAACAGUGUGAAUCCAGCUUGAAGAAAAGGCUAGGCCUUCCUGUGUUAAUAUUUAUUCCUAUCUUUCAAUGUAGUAUGAUUAGUUUUCUAUAUUGACUUCAGGGUCCAUUGGAAUGUUGAUUAGAUAAAUAAUCAAAUCACUUAAUAAACUCAACCAGAGUGGCUGUGAACCAGUAAGUAUGAUAUACUUCUUUAAGCAAGAUUCAGGAACAUUACCAAUAUUGCAUGGUAAUCCAUAUGCCAUGUAUGUAGGGUUCCUCAUGUCUUGUCUUUUAUGUGUUCAGGUAGAAGGUAGAGGGUCUUAAAAUAAUAGGUUUGUCUCUGAGGAAGUUUUAUUUUGUUUUACAUUUAGUUAUGUGUGUGUGUGUGUGUGUGUGUGUGUGUGUGUGUGUGUGUGUGUGUGUGAGAGAGAGAGAGAGAGAGAGAGAGAGAGAGAGAGAGAGAGAGAGAGAAAGAGAGAGAACCUGCUUAGGUAUCAUGGCAGUCCCCUCUUAGCAUAUUUUAAGUAUCACUGGAUUAAUAUGUUGUUCAUCAACGACAUGUUUAUAAAAAUAUCUUGGCUGCCUUGUUUAUAAGAGGCAGGACAAUCAUAUGGAAAAUCCAACUUUCUUUCUGCAGUGAGACUUCCUUUGCUUGGGUUGAUUGAAAAACAGUGUCAGAAUGGAUUUCCUGCAGUCAAGAACACACAUGGAGAGAGUUUGGUCACUGCCUGCCCAGCUUCAUGGAAAAGGGACCAUCGUGUGUUUUCAUGUGUAGUGUGCAGGGGUUUCCCAACAAGCAGAGAAAGAGCUGUGGGGAUGAAACAUACACAACCUUCUAGAAAUAUAUUUGAAGCAUACAGUGAAAAUGUUUUCAAAGGUCUUCAUCCUUUGAACAUCAAUUGUCUUUCUAGAGUAAAAGUGUGAAGUCAUAUUUCCUAGGGUGUGCAAGAGCUAUACAUAUGAUUAGAUUUAUCAAGAUAUUUCAUGAGGCUUUACAAACAGUAAUGACCUAAGCACUGAACAAGAGGGGACAAAUCCAAAGGCAAUGCAUCCUCCAAACACAAUGGUUCAUUUCUGGCUUGUUCAUGUUAAUUGCUUUUAUUGUCACUAUUAAUUAUGUUUCUUUUAGUUUGAAUUUUCUAUUUUUCUAUAAACAUCUCCAUUAGAAACAUACAUGAGACAUAAUAACUUUGGAUAGUGCUAAGAAACUGACAAACAUUAGCAAACAUUAGUAAUGUCAUAAACUUUUCUAGAAAGAUGGCUCUUUAGUUCCUUUGCCGAUCUUCCCCUCAUGUAUUCCCGUUGUCCUGUUCCUUUCAUGAUUAGAGGGCCGAAGAUACAAGAUAGAGUGCUGUCUCUUAGAACAGUCUCCACAGAGUCAAAGUCUUUUGUCAGAUGUCAGGACAUCAUCAUGGCUUAAAGAAGAAUGGUAAAGGUAAGGUAAGACCAGCCAAAGGCCCUAGGAAUGCUCAGUGUCUUUCCUAAACUGAUUAUAGAACCAAGCCUUACUAGGAAGACCUCUCUCUGCUGGAACCUGUAGUAGACAUAGACCCUCUACUUCAUGGUCUUAAAAGUCAGUGAGAGAGACAAAAUGCAGUUGAGUCAGUUUAUCCUGUUGACUAAACUCUAUCACCAAGGUUGAAUCACAACUUAACAUUUAUGUCCCAUCCAUUCUUCAGCUACAAAUUAAGGAGGCCUGGGAUUCCAUUUCUGCCUAGAACUGGACAGUUCUCCCAUAUAAAGCUUCUCAAAAAUUUCAUUUUGUUGGUCUUAAUUUUGUUUGUUUUAUUAUUCCUCCUCCCCUUCCUCUCCUUCUCUUACUCCUUCACCUCUUCCUCUUCCCUUUCUUCUUUCUCUUCCUCCUCUUCCUCCUCUCUCCAUUACAAUUUGAUGUAUUGCAUCUCUCAUGUGGCCUUGAAUUGGAUACAUAGCCAAGGAUGACCUUGAAAUCCCAAUCUUUCCAUCUUUACAGUUACAGGUUGGUACUACCACAUCUAGUUUAUGUGAUUUGUGGGACAGAAGCCAGGUCUACAUUCACACACUGGAAGCAAAAUACAAAUGGAGAUACAUCCUCAGGCCUGCUUCUUUUUUAAUGAAAUUAUUUAAUUAUCUAAGUUUUAUUGGUAAGUGCGAAGAUUGAGGAAAGUCUCAAGACUGCAUUUCUAAGAAGCUGUGAGGUUGCUUGGUCCAGCUCAUUUUAUUGAGUCACAAAGUUUUAGCAUGCAUGAUCUAACUAAACUCUCCCAAGUAUCCUUUCAGGUAGCCAGCCUUGACCUAUUUGACAGACAAUGGGAAUGGCACAUGCAGAGUCAAACUAAGAAGAAAAAAUAAUUCGGGCAUGGAGGCUUAUGCCUAAAAUUCCAGCACUAGGGAAGUAUAAACAGGUCACAAGUUUUAGAUCAUCCUGGGCUUCAGAAGAAGUUCAAAUUUAACAUGAGGAAACCUUCUCUCAAAAAUCAAAAAAAAAACAAAAACAAAAACAGAAACAAAACAAAAGACAAAAACAAAUACAAAAACCUAAUGACAAAACAAACAACAGAAACCCUAACUUAGUGAUUUUGAGUCUUGAUUUCAAGAUGUUUAACCAAUCCUUGCAGUUCUGAAACGUCAUAUUAGAAAUGGUUGCCACACUCAUAUAGAAUGAAUAGGAUUAAAAAAUUAGUAAAAGUAAACAAUUAAUAGAGCAUAUUAAUAGAUAGAGUGAUGGGUCAUUUCAUAUUGGAUAGGGUAGAAUGGGGGUCAGUUAUCCUAGCUAUUUGAGCUUCAUGUUGAAGGUUAGAAUAGACGUCUCCCCUAGACAGACAAAGCAUAAAAUAAAAGGUUCAUCUAACAUGUCAAGACCAAGUACAUAAGUCAUCAUAGAAAGGACCCAUAAAUAGGCUCAAAAGGAAAGGACACUCAUAUUUACUUAGUUUACCACUAUUAUUCCCUUCAUUCAUUGAGCACAAGGGGGACUUCUUUAUUACUAUUUGCACUGCUGCCUUUUUUCAGGAGGGACACGCAGCUUGAUCAGAAGGGAUCCUUCCCUUUCUUAUUUGUUUCUACUAACUAGACCUCCUGAGCAAAGUCUGAGGGUCCUCACCCCUGGGCUCCACAGGCAUCUGUGGUGGCACUCCACAUAAAGUGCCAUCUGUGUGGUGCGUGCCCAGAGGAACAAAGAGGUUAAUUCUCUUCUUUUGAAACUGUGACUCCCAUCCUCCCCCAGUUUCUCUAAGUGUUUCCUUUUAAAGAAAAGCCAUGGUUCACUGCUACUGAAAAUUAAAGACAACAGCAUAAAGAUCAAGGUCCAGGCUGGUACCAGCAAUGACAGAACAUUAAAAUCGUUACUUGAGGUUUUUUUUCCUUAAAAACUGACAAAGACUAUUGAAGAAAAGACAUCUAUAGCAUGGGUUAAUUUCAUAAAUGUGUGUGUGUGUGUGUGUGUGUGUGUGUGUGUGUGUGUGUGUGUGUGUGUCUGUUGCUCACCAGCAUUGGUAUAUGGAGAGAUCAAGGGUUGAUAUUGCGGUAUCAUCUUCCAUCACUUCUGUUCUCUUCCAUAUUCUUCAAAACAGCAUGUCUCAUUGAACCUCACUGUUUAAUCUAGACUGCAGGAAGCCUUCUGGAUCCUUGUGUUUCUACUGUCAGUGAUAGGAUUAUAGUACAGGUGACCACAUCUGUCCCUUAUAUAGGUACUGGGGAUCUGAAUUCAGGUCUUCAAGCUUGCCUCCAAGCACUUUACCCAUCUCCACAGUCCAUUUCAGAAUCUCUCUAGUUUUGUCUCUGCCUUCACAGAUUCUUUAGGCCGAAAUGGACAAAUUGGAGGUGACCUUCAGUUUAGAUGAAAUGAGUGGAGUGGCAGUAAUGGCUUCCUCCAUCCCACAUCACAUGGAGUACCAAGAAAUCAUGAGAGAGUUAUUUUUUGUUUGUUUGUUUGUUUUUUAGGUAAAGUUUACUUUAUAAGGUCGAAGAGAGAAGGAAUAGCCAAGUAGCCCAUCCUUCUCUACAGAUUAUACUUCUUGAUUCUCUAAGUAUAUGAGGUUCCCUCCCUUCAACCUCUCUUCAGUUACAGAUUUGCUUGGCAAACAGAAUCGUAACCUGCACACCCUGGAAUUCCUUCUGAUUUGCUGAAAUUGUGUUUUCAAUACUUAGCUUUUCUGACACCAGACUAGGGGGACAGGCCUCCACUCCUAACCUCAUGUUAGCUUGCUAUUUUCUGGUGGUUCCCUUGAUGAAUAUCCAGCUUCUAGAAUUGACUGCAUAUUACCUCAAUAAGAUGGACUCAAUCUCCUACCCUAUACAAACAUGAUAUUAGUAGGUUUCUCAAGACAUGUAGAACACUGCUCUUCCGACAAUGAAGAAGACAUGGGUAGGAUAAAUCUGUGCUUACCACCGAAGAAAACUUGAUGAAGAACAUGGUGGCCACUGUAUUGCUUGAUAAAUGAAGCUUUCUCUCAAGACGAGCAAAGGAAAAAAAACCAAGAAAAUAACUGAAGGCAAGUAUAUUCCUCCCUUAUAUCAAUAUCUUGGACUCUUAGAAGCAUGGAAUGAAAAUUUGUGAAAAAACAGCCAUAUCAACUUGCCGUGGUGACUCAAAAGUUGUCGUUUCUCAACUCAACUUUGCUGAAACACUUGAUUCAUGUUGUUCUUAUUUAACCUAAUUUGCAUUGAUUUAAUCAGUGCUGGUAUGCUUUAAAUACAUAAUAAAUUGGAAUUCUGCAACUCAGAAGACUUAGAAUAGCUAAAUUUCAAUAAAGCUCAUUUCAAUCUGUUAAUGUAUACAGCUCUGCCAAGGGAUUUAAGAGGAUAGAAAAGAUGCAACUUGCCACAUUAGAGGUGAGAAGGGCUUAAAGAUACCAUGCAGACAAAAUGAUUUGCAGGAUAACAACAUGAAAUAUAUAUUAUAUAUAUUUAUAUAUAAAAAUAUACAUGGUCAUAAUUACAAGCUAGGAUCUUCUUCUACACUUUGAGUGGCAUACUUAGAAGAAAACUCACAUAUAAAUGCAGUAUGUUUAAUUUUAUUCUCUUUCUUUUUUUGCCAACACUCAACUCUUCUCUGCCUCUCUGUACCAGCUCUACAAAUCAAGUGACAUCCAAAGUAGGACCUCUUCUUGCCCAUUUGGCAGCCUCUCUCAUCCUUCUGCCAAGCUGCAUGCAUUAUAAGGAUUUUCUUCCUAGCAGCCAUGGGUAUUGGGUGCCUUAUGCUCAAAGUACUUGCUGAAUGGCUGGCCACUGUUUACCCCUGCCUAAGCCUGCCCAGCCUUGCUCCUCCAACCCUUUAGAGUUUAUGGCUCAAUCAGUCGGCAUGCUGUCAGGAAUAAUUGUUUUGGCAAGGGGUAAAACCACUUGAUGAUGAAAUUGUUUCUCUGUCUGUUAAAGUGUUCUGCAGCAACGCAGUAGUGCCAAGUGCCCAGUCCAGGGCUCGGUUGGAGGGAGGGUGAGGAGAGCUGACCAUCCAGACUGGCAAAGAAAGAACACAGCUCUGUGGCAGAACAACAAAGAUCUAUCUGUGUUCGUAAGGUGUAUGACCUUGAGUAAUCCCCAGAUGUCUCUGGCCUCAGUUUCGUCAUGUGCAAAAUGGAGAAGGUUGAUUUUCUCAUGUCUCCUGUAGCUCCGAAGACAGCAUGUGAUGUCUAGGACAUUUCAGAUUUGUGUUCUUUUCAAUUAAAUGAUGAAUCUUGGAGAUGAAUGACCAGGGCAGAGCUCAGAGGAAUACAGAAUGGGAUGAUUCAUAGGACUUUUCCUGAAAAGUGCCACCUCUCUUUGGUGACCUUAAUUCUACCAAUAUGUCUUUUCAACUUCGUUGUUAAGGGCCAGUCUAGUGGCUUGACCAAUAAACUCAACCUGUGAGAUCGUCCAGCUACAUCCAUCCUUCCUAGCAACAUAGUAGUGACAGAUAGCACCCACUUACUUGGAGUUUAUUAGAAGCAGAAAUGAUACAAAUAUGAGGACACUAGUCCACUUCAAUGUAUGACUCCUCCUGACACUGGCUGACUUAGCCAUCUUUGAAGAUUUUGAUUUUUAAAAAAUAGAUGACCAAUAGUUCUGUGGCAAUAGGGUAGAUCUGUUAUGGUUGUGACUGGAGGGGUACUUAUUCAUUAUAUGGACUACUGUCUAUAAAGGACUGAGAGUAGAAAAUCCAGCAGGGGCUUUCCCUGGUUUUCACAAGAAAAGUAGCAUUAUUCUCUGUAGUAGCAAAACUGAAUUAAGGAUGAGUGGAUGAGAAAAAGCCUUCCUUUUCCUUUAAAAUACUUCUCUACACGUUUUCUAGUACAUUCUCCAGGGUUUAGAUGUAAUUACCAUGAGCAGCACAUGUCAAUGUUAGGCUCUCUCUUGUCAUACAACAGCAUCUUUAUCCUUGAAGGCGGUUUGCUCCAUGGAAAGGGUGUACACUAGGUGAGCCCCAGUAGGCUCUUCAGCAGUCUCUGUGUACACAGACUGAAUUUGCCAUACUGCAACCCUCUCACACCAUCAGGACUCAGAUGGCUUUUCCUACACAGUGGGCUUUUAAAGCAUUCUCUCAGCAAACCCUGAAAAUGGCCAGCUCCCUGUAGAAGGGUAGUUAGUGUUAAUGCUAGCAAAUGAGAGGAGAGAAGAGAGGAGAAGAGAGGAGAGGAGAGGAGAGGAGAGGAGAGGAGAGGAGAGGAGAGGAGAGGAGAGGAGACUGAGACUGACAGAAGCAACCCCCAAAUCCCUGCUUUCUUGUGUCUCCUCUCAAGUUGCUUUUGGAAAGCAAAGAAACAAAUGUUGAUUGCUGUACAGAGUCCUACGUAUCUGUUACACGUAGGCAGUUUAACAGAGGGGGAUAUAUUCCCAAGGAAAGGUUGGUGGUGCAGGGGGGGGGGCGAAUAUGUUGCUCCCUCAUUUAGAUAUAUCUUGUCAUUGAUGAUGUUUCUUACCCCACCCCCUCUUCCUUUUUUUCCCACCCGCAAAUAUAUACAAAAAAAAAAAGAGCUGAGAGUGUUUUUCAUUUCAUCAAAGAACAUAUAUUACUUUAGCGGCUUGGUUAAAAAAAAUGUUGGUUUUCUGCCCACCCCUUUUCAAUCUGCCGGUGUUGGAGGUGCUCGGAGAAGACGCACAAUCGCGAGCAGCUUACGACACUCAGUGAGCAGUCGGUGCCGGUGCAGGCUCGCACACACUCCUCAGAGGAGGGAAGGAGCCGGGCGCUGCUCUGCGCUCCGCAAAGCAAAGCAUGAGCCGGCCAGGUUUCCGCAGCUGCCCGGGACACGAAUGGCAGGCGUUUUCCAACUGGGACUCCAAGGUGGCUGCGAUUCGCGGUGGUCAUUGCCGAUGACAUUCUCCAGACUGUCAAAUCCUGGGGAGUCUCGAGCCCCGAGUUUGGAGUUGAUUUUUUCCCUCAACCCCCCAACCACGUCACAGUCUCAACUGCAGAGGAAAAAAAAAGGGGGGACCGAGGCAGGAAGGCGAGAAGCCCGGGCUCCCGGCACGUAGUUGGGAAACUUGCGGGUCCUAGAAGUCGCCUCCUCGCCUCGCCGACCGCCCCUGCAGCCCCGGAGCGCAGCAGCAAAGUGAGACAUUGUGCGUCUGCCAGAUCCUCGGGCCGCGGAGCAGGGCUGCCUCGGGAAACACAGAGGGGUCUUCUCUCGCCCUGCAUAUAAUUAGCCUACACACAAAGGGAGCAGCUGAAUGGAGGUUGUCACUCGCUGGAAAAGGAUUUCUGACCCAGCGCUUCCAAUGGACAUUCUCCAGUCUCUCUGGAAAGAUUCUCGCUAAUGGAUUUCCUGCUACUCGGCCUCUGUCUACACUGGCUGCUGAGGAGGCCCUCGGGGGUGGUCUUGUGUCUGCUGGGGGCCUGCUUUCAGAUGCUGCCCGCCGCCCCCAGCGGAUGCCCGGGGCAGUGUCGGUGCGAGGGGCGGCUGCUGUACUGCGAGGCGCUCAACCUGACCGAGGCGCCCCACAACCUGUCCGGCCUGCUGGGCUUGUCUUUGCGCUACAACAGCCUCUCGGAGCUGCGCGCUGGCCAGUUCACAGGGUUAAUGCAGCUCACGUGGCUGUAUUUGGAUCACAAUCACAUCUGCUCGGUGCAGGGGGACGCCUUUCAGAAACUGCGCCGAGUUAAGGAACUCACACUGAGUUCCAACCAGAUCACCGAACUGGCCAACACCACCUUUCGGCCCAUGCCCAACCUGCGCAGCGUGGACCUGUCCUACAACAAGCUGCAGGCGCUAGCUCCGGAUCUCUUCCACGGGCUGCGGAAGCUCACCACCCUGCACAUGCGGGCCAAUGCCAUUCAAUUCGUGCCGGUGCGCAUCUUUCAGGACUGCCGCAGCCUCAAGUUUCUCGACAUUGGAUACAAUCAGCUCAAGAGUCUGGCGCGCAACUCUUUCGCCGGCUUGUUCAAGCUCACAGAGCUACACCUGGAGCAUAACGACUUGAUCAAGGUGAACUUCGCCCAUUUCCCGCGCCUCAUCUCCCUGAACUCGCUCUGCCUGAGGCGGAAUAAGGUUGCCAUUGUGGUCAGCUCUCUUGACUGGGUUUGGAAUUUGGAGAAAAUGGACUUGUCUGGGAACGAGAUCGAAUACAUGGAGCCCCAUGUGUUCGAGACCGUGCCGUACCUGCAGUCCCUACAGCUGGACUCCAACCGCCUCACCUACAUUGAGCCCCGUAUCCUCAACUCCUGGAAGUCCCUUACGAGCAUCACUCUAGCCGGGAACCUGUGGGACUGCGGGCGCAACGUGUGUGCCCUGGCUUCCUGGCUCAGCAACUUCCAGGGACGUUACGAUGCUAACUUGCAGUGCGCCAGCCCGGAGUACGCACAGGGCGAGGACGUCUUGGAUGCAGUUUAUGCUUUCCACUUGUGUGAGGAUGGGGCCGAGCCCACCAGCGGCCACCUCCUGUCGGCGGCCGUCACUAACCGCAGUGACCUAGCGCCCCCUGAGAGCUCAGCCACGACUCUGGUGGACGGUGGGGAGGGGCUGCACGAUAGCACGCUUGAACCCAUCACCGUGGCUAUCCCCGGCGGUGAGCACGCAGAGAACGCAGUGCAAAUCCACAAGGUGGUCACGGGCACGAUGGCCCUCAUCUUCUCCUUCCUCAUCGUGGUCCUCGUACUUUAUGUAUCCUGGAAGUGUUUCCCAGCCAGCCUCAGGCAGCUCAGACAGUGCUUUGUCACGCAGCGCAGGAAGCAGAAGCAGAAACAGACCAUGCAUCAGAUGGCUGCUAUGUCUGCCCAGGAAUAUUAUGUUGAUUACAAACCCAACCACAUCGAGGGGGCCCUGGUUAUCAUCAACGAGUACGGCUCGUGUACCUGUCACCAGCAGCCUGCGAGGGAAUGUGAGGUGUGAUUGUCCAAGAGGCUCCCUACCCAUGCACUACCAAAUACGCCUGGGCAGCCAGGCGGGCCAGCGGGCACCAGGACUGGUUUCCUCUGCGCUCUGAUUUGUUGACUGAAACUGUAAGGGGAUCUCUCCCAGAGACUUGACAUUUUAGCUUUAUGUGUCUUAAAAACAAACAAACAAACAAAAUCCCGAAAUAAAACACAACAAAAAACCCCACCCCAUAAUCUUCAGGACAGUCUGUCUUAAAUUUCAUAUGAGAACUUCUUCCUCCCUUUGAAGAUAUGUCCAUAUUCAGGAAUCUGAGAGUGUUAAAAAAGUUCUGUCAACAGAUUCCAUAUCCACCCAUCCUCUGCACACCUCUCCUCGAGCAGCAUAUACCUGUUUCAUCUCCUGUGAGCUUAAAGACUUCUGGAGGAAGGUGGGAGCAGAAAUUUCAUUUGGCUCAAUGGUUAUCAUGUUUUACCAUCAAAAGUGCAUGUGUUUGCUUCAAGUCUUGACAAUUACUGUGGUAUUGUAUCUGCCAGGCUGUGUGACUGUAUUUCUGGACUGCACAGCCAAGCAGUUCUGAUCUCCAGCAAAAGCCAGCCACACAUAGCACAGCGAGCUGCCCACAUGUUUCUGCAGAACUGCUAACCCACAAGAACUGCAAUAAAAAGAGAUAAGGGGAAUGGAAAGAUGUGCUUUUGUUUUGAUUUUGUACUCAAAUAAGCUCUUCGAAGAGAAUAAAAGAAGAAAAAGAAAGAAGAAAAAGAAGAAGAAAAGAAAAGAAAAAGAAAGAAAGAAAUGAAUCGUUCUCCAAGCUGGUGCCCUGCCAAACUUCCUCCCCUCCCUUCCUUGUCCAAGCACUCCACCGUCUGUGCAGACUGUAUAACAGCAAGUUCUGCAAACAGCCUGAGGAAUCUGGGCCAGACCAGAGCCGUGCUAUCUUAGUAUAUGUUCGAUGGGGCUUUGAAGAUUUUGGUUUUUACCUUAAUGUUUUAUCGACUGCCAGAUCUUGGAAGCACAUCUGUUAUCACCAGUUUCUGUUUGUAAAAUGAGACUAAAGGUACUAUCCCCAGAGAAAUUCUGGUAUCUUCUCUGUACUUCAGUGCUUCCACUAACAGCUUGCCUCAUAAAACACAACUGUGAUAAAUAUUAAAGAAUGUUAAUAAAAAUGAGAUAAAAUGCCAAGGGAUCAUUUUUUUGCCCCCUACUAUUUUGCCCCCUUUUAAGCAGUGAUUUGUCAGAAAACUGGUUACUGUGAUCAAUGUGAUGUCCCGAAGCAGCUUUCUAAGAACAGACAUAGACUUGCCAUGGUCACUAUGAGCUUUCAAUCCCGUGAUGAGGAAGGGUGUAUUGCUGUUGUUUCUCCCACCUUUGGGAAAAUGUUCCUUCUAUGGGACACUCAACAAAGGGAGAAAACCAGGUUGUGAUAUUUUUUCCUCUUAAAACAUAAACAGGGACUACAGAGAGAAGAUGCUUCCAGUUCUGAAUUGGACCCUGAGAUGGUAAUUAACUGCUUAACUAAGAAAACAAUUACUUAGGCCCAUUUAUCUGUGCCCUCAAAUGCAGUGGUCACUAGAUAAAUAGAGUAGCUUUACAGUGCACUGAACUCUAAGCUGAUUCAUACCGAUUCUUUCAUGCUUCUCAAGUAGGGCAAGUUAAACACGCAUUUGUGUGCUUUCUUUGUCAUGUUUGCAUGACCAUUGCCUUCGGGGCCAUAAGGAAUCAAAGAUUAUUUGACUUUGAAACACAAAAUGUCUAGAGAUCUGUACACAAGUUGUGUGGAUUAGAACAAACAACUCCAAAAUCUGUUACUUUAGAAUGGUUCACUAUUUCCGUUUUGGAAGUAGACUUAAAAUUACUGCAUUUUGCAUAUUCUAACAACACACUAGCAUUUAAUUAGUAUCAUGAGUAUUCACACCAAAAUUUUUGACAUCAUCCUCAUAUCUGUUACCAAACUUAACUGACCACAAACUUGUUUUAAUUAUAUACAGUAAAUGUUGUUUCAAUGUUAUUUAUAACAGAAUGAUACUUAGUGUAUGGACCUUACUAGAUGGAAUUUUAUAUUUUGUUUAUAAUUAUGUUGGAUUAAAGUUGUUUAAAAGUCCAUGAACCUAUUAUGGGUCAGUUCAAGAAUUUCUAAACAACCAAGUGCCUGUUAUUUCUACCACUCUCCUCAUGUUCACACCUUUUAUGUAAUCUCUUCUAUUUUAUAUUCAUUCAAAUUUUCAUGAUGACUCAACGUUUACUGAAGUUCUAAAACUACCUUUAAUGGCUUUCCCAAGACUCGUGUUUACUGUGGUCCUGUCUCUCACCAGGAGAAAGUGUUAAAACAGUUACAACCCUUAGCAGCCACUAAUUUAGAGUGCACCAGGACAUCUUUCCAUGUUGUGUACACGAUGCCAUUACUUCACUCAUGUAUUAUGAAUAAGUAUAUAUGUACAAUAUAAACGCAUAUACUGUGUGCAUGUGUUCAUGUAUAUGUGUCCGUGUGUGUGUGUGUGUGUGUGUGUGUGUGUGUGUGUGUGCAUGUACACAUCAAAGGUCAAUACGAUUCAGCAGCUGUCGUCCUCUGUUGAUUUUUCCUCUUAGUUUUGAGAUAGAGUCUUUUACUCAACCUGAUUUAGAUGGACUGGCUGGCCAGAAAACGCUUGUGAUCCUACUGUCUUUAUUUCCCCAGUUCUGGGAUUUCAGAAAUGUAACAUCAUGCUUGCAGCUCAGGAAGAUCAAACUCAUGUACAAAUGCUUCUCUGCCAAGCACUUUCCUGACUGAGCCACCCUCACCCUGUGUGUGUGUGUGGGGGGUGUGUGUGUGUUGUAUAUUUAAUUAAAAUACGUAUAUUGGUAUCUUGCCUGUGUGUAUAUGUUUGUAUACAAUGCAUAUAUUUUAUACCCACAGAGGCCAGAAGAAGGUAUUGGAUACUUAGUGCCUGGAGUUACAGAUGGCUGUGAGCCUCCAUGUGGAUGUUGGUGAUCAAAUGAGGGUCCUCUGGAAGACCCUGAGUUAACAGUAGCAAAUAAGAGCAGCCAGUCCUUUGAACUGCUUAGACACCUUUCUAGCCCUUCAUGUUGAUAUAUUUUAUGUCACAUUAUAUACUCAUGGUCAAUGGACAAAUCAACUUUAUCAAUUCAGUUCAGUUAGUCUCUAGGUGCCAUAGGUGCUACAAAUAGAGAAAGAGUGGCCUUGCUUUCAAAGGCUUAGAGAACAAUAGGACAGUAUAAGGUUCAUACAUGCAAUGGAAACCCAAGGUGGAGAAGAAUUCGUUAUCUCUCCCAGGCACUAUUCUAUAUACGUAGUUAUUCUAAAGACAGUAAAGACAGAGGAUUUUUCUUAGCUCAUGAAAUGGAUGGGAAGUUGAAGAGGAUUGAGAAACAAGAUGUCCAGAGGUAGGUAUGAUGUGACAUGUAAAAUGGAAAUAGAAUGUUUCUCAAAAGAAUAAUUCACAAUGUACAAUGACGUGAAGGCAGGCAAAAGAAUGGGAAGCCCCAGCCAAGCAUACCAGCGAGGUGUACAACAGUGUGGGAUGACUUGAUUUUUCAUAAGUAGAUACUUAAUCAGCAGGACAAUCUCGAAGCUAAUUUUGCUCCCUUUCUCUAAUAUAUCCCACAUCUGUAACUCAUGCUGCUACAGAGAAAACAACUAAUCACUCCUAUACUCUCUCCCUGCAUUCAAACUCAGAAUGAAAACAGGAGCCCUGAGGUAUCCCACAUGGAAAGAAGGAACUACUGGAAGGUGUUGCUACAUCAUCUAGAACAAAUGAUUUGAAGAAGGUCUUCUGAAAUCAAGAGACUGUUGUGGAAACAUAGGGAAUUUUGAAGUUGCAAACAGGGCCCACCAUGAGAUAUGAGGUCUCCUAAAGAUGCUGAUCUCAAGUAUCCAUUAAAAAAAUCAUCUAGUGCCCAAACAUAGCUUGCAACAUCAAAUCUUUUUGACUUUAGGAGAUCGUGAAGACACAGGGAAUGGGCAUGUGGAAGGUAAGUCGGUUCUGAGCCAGUAUGUGAUGACCCAAACCAUUGUUUGGUUGAGAGGGAUGAGAAUGGAAAGAGAGUCACUCUCAACUUGUAUGGUUUUCAUUCCCUGCAAUUUAUAAUCUUCUAGUUUCUUCAUUUUCCCUUUCUACACAUUUUAUGUAGGGGGAAUCACACAAUAUGCAGCUUUUUAUCUGACUUCUUUUGCCUAGCAGGUUUUCAUGUUUAUCUACAGUGUAGCAUGGACUUUGAACCAUAGCAUGCACAUUGUACCAUGAACAUACUGCUUAUUCAGUCGUAUCUUUGAUGGAUACUGGCUCUUCUGAAUAAUGACCAGGGCUCUCGAUGUUUGUGAAUACAUUUCAUAUGUUCAGAUUAUUUCUCUUAUUUUUAUAUCUAGAAGUAGAAGGGCUGGGGUAUAGGGUAAUUUUAUGGUAGCCAUUUUUUGUAAUUAUUUAUGUUAUGUAUAUGAGUACACUGUAGCUGUCUUCAGAUACAUCAGAAGAGGACAUCAAAUCCCACUACCGAUUGUUGUGAGCCACCAUGUGGUUGCUAGAAAUUGAACUCAGGACCUCUGCAAGAGCAGUCAGUGUUCUUAACCACUGAGCCAUCUCUCCAACUCUUAUGUUAGGCAUUUUAAAAAAUUGUUAUUCUACUUUCCAAAUCAUUGAGCUAAUUUAUAUUCUCAUCAGCAAGGUAUAAAGUAUGAGGGCUCUAUUGCACAUUUUCUCCACUGUGUUAUUUUCUUUUUAAAAUUACAGAUAAUUUUUAAAGCUGUGUGUGUGUGUGUGUGUGUGUGUGUGUGCGCGCGCGCACGUGCGCGUGCGCACGUGUAUUCACGUGUGCACACAUCCAUGCAGGUGUCUCUAUAGUACAGAAGAGGCCAUUGGACCCCCUGGAGCUGGAAUUGCAUAUCAUUAUGAGGCACCUUAUCUGGGUUCUAGGAACUACAUGAGUUAUUUCUAAGAGGACCUCUAACUGCUGAGCCAUCUCUCCAGCCUUAACUCCCAAAGCUUCAUGUUUAUCAUAUAAACAAGGUGGAAAAUUAACCUAAUUGUGUUUAUCCAGGACUUUUGGGAAGCAAUUAAACUAUGUCCUAUGAUAUUAGGUUGGAGGCCCUGUACUUGAAUUCCAAUAGAUUUAUAUGUUGACAGUACAAAGAUACAUAUUGGCAUACUCACGCUCCUCCUGUGCUAUUGUCAGGAAACAGGUAAUGUCACCCCCUCCUAAGUCAGACUAUUUAGAUGUCUACACUCAUCACUCAUAAAAAGGUUUCUUACUGUACUAGAGAAAAUAAACAAUAAGUUUCUCUAUAUCUAAAGACACCUGCCUCUGGUAUUUCAUUGCAGUAAUAAAAAACUGACUAAUACAUUUUUCCCUUCUGUUUUCCUCGAGUUCUUCAUCUCACUUUAUGGUCACGACAAGCAGUACCCAGAAAUCCACCCUCCUUUUUUGACAUGACACAUGAAUACGGUUCACAGCUUCUCUCAGACGCAACAAAUGCACAUGUCACCAUUGAUAUUUUUCCCACUGCAGCAAAUCCACCAAAAUAGGACUUCCCUCACCCACUCUGCUAGUCACUUCCCUAUCUAUUACUGUGAAGAGGCACCUGACAGAAACUAUUAAAAGGGAUGACAUAUUUACCUUGGUCCAUGGUAAACUAUUACCUGCAGUGGAUUGAGGCUAAGAGCCAGCAAGCCACCUUAGAGCUGUCUGUCUCACUCCUUCUUCCAGUGUUGAAGUUGCAGCUACAUGCUGCUACUCUCAGCUUUUACAUGAGUGCUGGUGACAAACUCAAGGAAUAAUGCUUUCACUGCAGACUUUACCCACUGAGUCAUCUCCUUGGGCUCUGGGCUUACUUUCUGGGUGGUAUUACAAGGCUAGUCUAUCUCAUUGUUUAUUCUAUGAUUCUCUAUAUCCACAAACAUACCAAUAUAUAUGGCUUAUAAAAGAACUUAUUAAAUAAGCUACUUAGUAGUAUCUAUUGGUGAUUAAAGCCCAUGUUCUCUCUUAUUCUUAGGCUUUGUCUUCUUGACAAUAUGUUGUACAUUUUUAUUUUCUUAUUUUGGUGUGUGUGUGUGUGUGUGUGUGUGUGUGUGUGUGCUCACACACAUGUGCACACACACUUAGGUCCUACAUGGAUGUUGCCAGUGAAUUGGUUCUCUCUUGACAUCUUAUGAGAUCCAGGAACUUAGGUUAUCAAGUCUUCAUGCAAAUACCUCUGCCUGCCGAACUACCUCAUUGGCCCAGCUUACAUAUUUUAGAGCAGGCAUUCUCAUUCUUUGGAUCCUCAGAAACUGAUAUGGAGGUCUAAAAGGUUUGAUUACUACUCAUUCAGAAGUUGGCCCUUGGCUCUGUAUAUGAGGAUGACCUCAUUUGAAUUAUAUGAAUUAUCUGUAUAACUCAAACUAUAUGAAUUUAUGAAAAGCUCCUAAGGCUGGCCUGGAACUUGGCAAUACACACUGCCUUAAAAAUCACAGAUCUGGAGUAGGUGUGCAGGGAUGUGUCUGAAUGGAUAAUUAAUCUUUGUUCUCCUUGGGGAUCCCAAAUUCCUUCAGAUCAAUGGAGCCAAGAGGUGGCAUUUCAGCAAAUAGCCAAUAGUGUUUUUUAUGCCUCUCCUGAGGAGGUGGUAUGAAAUGGUGUUCCCUUAAGUAUCACAGAAAGAAACAUUUCAAGGUAUAAAAGCAGCUUAACAAAGGAAACAAGCAGAGCUCUAUGUUCAUACAAUGCCUUUCAGAAAUGGGGGAGAGCCAUUUGCCAAUCAAAAUAUAUUCUCUGCUUCAGGAAGUGAAAAGUAAGGAAGGAGAGAAACAGGUCAAUAAAGUUCAAGGAUUGGAAAUCCCCAUGGACAGACUAAGUGGCCCUGGACUGAAAGCAUCCUCUAAGUGGACACCUUCAAGCUAAGGGCAGGUGCAUGAGUUUGAAUUGUAUUACCUGUGACUUUAGAGCUCAAGUUGAUUUUUGAAUCUACAGUAACUGACUGACCACUCUAGGAAAGUAGACAGGCAAGAGAGUAAAAGAUAACAGUUAGAAGUGCCUUAAUUUGAAGCAAAAUGUUUGUACCUAACCCCAAUGACAUAUUUAACACAGCCAAAGUCUUAAUUGUUAACAUUUAUGUGUACCAGUGUCUUCCCUGAAUGUAUGUAUGUAUAUCAUUGUAUCAUGUGCAUUUGAAUUUAGAAGAACGAACCCCUAGAAGUUAGGGAUGGUUAUGGGCCAUAAAGAGGGUGUUGGGAAUUGGACCCAGAUCCUCUGCUACAACAAGAGACUCUUUCCAGACAAGUUGUUGCUUGAAUGAACACACCCUCACUAGGAUCAUAUAUUGGCAGGCUUAGUUUCUAGUUAAUGAACUGUUUGGGAAGUAUUUGAUGUGUUCUUGUUAAAAUAUAUUUGGUUUUUUUUUGAAGGAGAUGUGUUGCUGUGGAUGGCUUUGAAGAUUUAAAAGCCCACACCAGGCCAAUUGUCCUGUUCUACUUGAUCCACAAGAGGAUCAGGAUGUAAAGUUCUCAGUUAGUACUCCAGUACCAUGCCCACUUCCCAACAUGAUAAUGGACUAACGCUCUAAAGCUGUAAGCAAGCUCCAAUGAAAUGCUUUCUUUUGUAAGAGUUGUUUUAGUCAUGGUAUCUCUUCAUAGUAAUAGAACACCAAGACAAGUCCACAACUAAAGACUUUUGAGUCAUGAGAAACUUCUGGAUUUUAUCAGUGUUUGCUAUUUGGCCUGAUCUUGCUCAUAAUCAUUUGUUAUUGUUUGGUGCUCUAUCAUUAUAAAGAACAUAUAGCUACCAUAUAUAUUUAUAUUGGAUUAGAUCAACAAGUGGGUGAAGUGGGGAAAAGGCAAUGUCAGUCACCUUGACUUGUAUAGACAUAUAUGCCAUUGAAUCUCAUACACUGGUGCAUACAUUAAAACAGCUGAGAAACUCGAAGUACAGGGCUCAAAGGUGUACAGAAUUCUGUAUCAAAGGAUGCUCGUCUCCAAAUUUAAGAACUUUGUUGAUUUUUACAUUUGGGAAUGCAUGUGCAUAGACAUCAGAGGUCAUUUUAUGGGAGGUACUACUGCUCCCCUUCUACUAUAUGGGGAUUGGACUCAAGUAGGCUUGGCAGCAAGUACCUUUGUGCAUGGAGCCCUCUCUCUAGUCCCCAGAAAGACCAUUAGACAAUAUGUACAAGCGAGAAACUUGAGAAGCUAGAGCUUCAGUGUAGGACUUAGGGCUGAGCAUUCUCCAGGUUUCAUUUUUGAAUUUAAUGUUUUUAAGUACAAUCUCUCCCUGUCUCUCCCUCCUUCACUUCCUCCCUCUGUCUGUCACGUGUGUGCAUGUGUGUGUGUGUGCGUGUGUGUGUGUGUCAGAGAGAAAGAGAGAGACAGAGACAGAGACAGAGACAGUGACAGAAGAGAGACAAAGGGGUGUGUGUUACCAGUGUGGUGGUGAGUGAACAACUUUCAGGAGUUAAUUCUUUUUCAAGCAUGUAUGUCCUGGGGAUCAAAUUCAGGUAGUCUGGCCAAGAAACAGGCUUUACUCAUUGGGCUAUCACUCUUCCCUUCAGUUUCCUAUUUGCAUUGUGUAAAUCUCUCAGGGAGGGAAUCUGGAUUGUGAUCCCCAGUUUUUAUCCUUCUAUCAUAGUCAGUAAGGGAAAAAUCUCAGUAUUAUGACAAGGCCUUGCUUGCAAAGAUCAACUUCAUUCAUGUAACUUUUCUGUUCAAUCAAUAUUCUAUUCCCCCCACCCCCAUUGGCAGAUGGCAUCAAAGCAAGAAACGUGGAGCAAAGUGCCAAAGGAAAAGGCAGGUGAGUUUAAAAGGAAAGAAAAAAGAAAUAGCAUUGUAAAACUGUAUAUGAUACCACAGUUGGAAAGAUACCUUUAAACAUCAAAAGUUAUGCUCUCAUUAAACAGAUGAAAAAGUGAAAAUGGUUUGUCUAUCAGCAGUGGGAAAAGCAGAGCCUGGGCAGCAAGUGGUAAUCCGUGCAUCAGGCUGGUACGUGCCCUGGAGAUAGUGCUCAGCGUGUGUCAGCGAAGGGGGCAGCAGAAGAAUCAGCUUUCAGCACAAGCCUACACACUUGCUCUCUAUAACACUUGGCCGCUGUGGAAUAUUGCAAUGCUGACCUAAAGGUCUCCCUAUGGUCACCUAGGCCAUGUAAGCCCAAGACUACCAAGGCUAAUUCCCUCAAGGAGAUCUUCUACAGCUGCUCAGUGCAGAUGUCUCCCAGAUUUCUCUACCUUUGAUAUGAUGAUAGCGUAGUCUCGGUUGACUCCAGAUUCUGGAUGGGGACUAUUCAUUAGAAAGAUCAAUCGUCUGACAGUCAUGGUGUUAAUAUGCCCUUAAACCCAGCAGAGGGAUUUUGAUGAGUUUUAGUCCAGUCUGGUCUAUAUAUUGACUUCCAAGACAGCCAGUAUCAUAUAGACAAACUAUAAUUAACUAAAAAAAAAAAAACCAAACAAACAAAACCACACAAAUCAAAUAAGCAAACAAAGACCAAUCAAAGGAUCAGGAGCCUAGAACUAGGGAAGAAGAAUGGAGACAGAACUAAACAGUGUGGCUAGCUAUUUAAUCACUUUUAUGUGAGAAAACUUUGGUACAAACUCUGGAUACCAAGUACCUAUAGAGCUUUCUAGUUAGUCAACUGACUUUUAGAUGGACCAUCCCGGGGUCAUGGAUAUAUCCAGAUCUCAUUAAUAGCCUAUAAAAAGUUUCACAUUUCUAUUCUGUACUGGUCUUUCCUCUGAUCUUACUCAUUUGAAUUGUUUUGAGGGUGUGUGUGUGUGUGUGUGUGUGUGUGUGUGUGUGUGUGUGUGUGUCUGUGUCUGUGUGUGUCUGUGUUCAGGCAGGUCUCAUCAUACAGUACAUGGUAGUCUUCAACUUGGGAUUUUCUUGACUCAACUUUCUAGGUGUUGCGAUGACAGGUGCUACUUCUAUAAUGUGCAUAGAAUCAAUUUACUUAUUUAUAUAUUUUUAUUCUGGGUUUCCUUGUUUAGUCUGAUUGGAUGUCUGGAUACCACAUGUAUCCUGGGUGCCUGUAGAACUCAGACGAUGGCAUUAGAUUCCCUUGAACUGUGGUUGCAGAGCUCUUGUGAGUUACAGUUUAUGAGCUCAGCGUUAAAUGAGUGUCCUCUAGAAGAGGAGCCAGUGCUCUUACCUGUUGAGCCCUACUCCUUGCCUCAAAUCAAGUUGUAAAUAUUUCAAUUUUCAGUGAGUUCUUGGAGUUGUUAAGUUCUACCAAAUGUUUCAGUUGAGGUCAUUGUGAUAACGGCAACAUUUUCACACAGUUUUUAUGGAAAUAAAAAUUAAGACAGCGUUAGUUUCCUGAAGAGAAAGCAAAACUUAUCUGUGUGUUUUGGAGACUGAUUUGAUAGGCUGGGCUAUAGUUUAUGUCAGAGGUGCCACUGCAACCUCUGCCUUCCAGACAUUAAAAGCUUCUGUAAAAACCUGCUUACAGAACCCCAGGCUAUGACUGUUCCUCCUCUGAGGACUUCCUGAGUAAGACUUACUGUUUACCAACAACCCUCUCAUAAUUCUUUCUAGCAAUCAAUUGUUUUUAUGUAUGAACUGAGCUGUGCCACCAAUCUUUCAUUCUAAACAAUGCACACGACUAACUGUGCAACUCACCAGAUACCUGGAAAUUACUGUUAUUUUUCCUCACCCCUUUCAUUGUCCUCCCUUUUCUUUUUUUUUUUUUUUUUUUUUUUUUUGGUUCUUUUUUUUUUUUUCGGAGCUGGGGACCGAACCCAGGGCCUUGCGCUUCCUAGGUAAGCGCUCUACCACUGAGCUAAAUCCCCAGCCCCUGUCCUCCCUUUUCUUGUAAGAAACUCAUUCCUCUUUCUUCUUGAUGAAACUUAUUUGUAGUUGAGUUUGUGUCUUUUUUAAAUGAAAAUAGCAUUUCCCCUUAUUUUAAUGUCAUGUAAGAAUUAUCGAGCUAAUAAAUGGGUUAUGUGUAUGAAUGACAUUGAGAUCUUCUGUCGAUUCUAUGUAUUUUACUUAUUAGUAUUGUUACUGUGUGUGAUGUGUAUGUGUGUGUGUGUGCAUGAGCACAUGUGUGUGCAGGUCAGACGUUGACUCUGUGAGAUGGUAAUCUCAUCAACAACUAUGAGAUUCAACAGGUGUAUCAGGUUUGCACAGAGUUUGUGUUCACUGGGCCCAAUUAGGUAACCAGCCUAGCCUGCAGCAUUCUUCACAAAGAAUUUUUGUCUCAACUUGUGUCUAUUCUAAAAUUAGUAUAAAAAUAGGGCUUCAAUCUUGCAAUUGAAGGGGAAAUAAUGUAUGUUAGGAUUUAUAAACAGCCACGCUAAUGUACAGUUGGCUUGAAACUAUUUUUCCCUGGAUCAUAGAAAAAUCAACAAGUUGUAUGAAAAAUACAUUCACUGAGAAUAGCCUCCCCUCUCUUUCUUUGUCCCAGUCUCUUCUUCCCUUUCUCCUUCUUCUUCCUUCUUUAUUACCUUUUAAAGAAAAAAUUCUCAACAUGAAUUGCCUACAGUUUUCUCAUCUAUUAUCAAGUUAGGAUUUAACAUCCUAAUAAUAUUGCUGAUGAGAAAUGAAAAACAGGUCAAAUAAAAUUUAUACCAGAGAAGCAUAUGGCACCCAAUUUAGACUAUCAAUUAUUAAUUUAAAAAUAAAAGGAAAAUGAAUUUAAAUAAAUUCAUUCUCUUUGUUGAUUGUUAUGAAAGGCCAUAAUGGUUAUUCAUGCAUUUUUUCUUUAACUGAUUAGUUUUACUUGAGAACCAAACUGUAUUUUUAUUCCCUCUGCCCUAGACAUUAUGUACCUGACUUCCCUGAACUUCCUACAUUCUCCCUCCCACCUUCUACUUAUCACUUCUUAUUUUCUCUUUCAUAUCUCUCCUCCCCUAUACUCCUCUUUCUUUACUCCCCUCCUAAAUCUUCAUAAACAGAAUAAUGGACUCAAAUUCUCUGCAGAGUUACUGAGAAAACUAAGUUCAGGUUCUGUUCUAAUUCACCAGUUAUUAAUUAACAAUAUCAACAACUCCUUUUUCAUUAUAGAUAACACAUUUUAAUGAUUACUUUUUAAAAAAGGAUUGAUCUCAAAGGCCUUUUCCUAUUAUCUACUGUAAUAAUAAAAAAUAUCACUCAGCCACCAUUUUAAUGACUGAUCAUUCUCCCCUCACUAAAAUUAAAUCAUAAAAGCUUUUAAUUAAAUUGAAUGGUAUCUAAAUGACUUUAAUCAUGCAAAGGAUUAAAAUGAAGGAUGCAUUUUUCUCCUACAUUGACAACAUGUAAUGACCAGGCUUGACCAUUGUUAUCAAUCCUGACCAUAAGCAGGUUGAUGACUUCCUCCUCUUGGGGCAUCACUAACAAAAGACCUACUAUUGAAACAGCACAUUUUGCUUCUUUUACUUUGGGAGAGGGUUCAACCAAAUCAACACCUCUGCAAGUCAUAGGGAGAGGUUCUUAGGAAGUAUGAAGAUAAACCCAUGACCUGCGAUAUCUUAACAGUUUAAAGUCCUUACUAAUUUUCAGGAUGACUUGAGUUUAGAUUCUAGAACCCACAUCAAGAAGCUCAGAAUGCCCUGGAACUCCAAUUCAGGGGACACAACGCCCUCUUCUAGCUUGAAUGGGCACUCCUACAUACAAUACGCAUACAGAGACAUAUACACACAAAUACACCAUAUUGCAAACUUAGGUACAAUAAAGAGGUUCUACCCUCCUAGACUUCUGUUUCUUAAAAAAAAAGACAAUAAUUCUUUGAGAAUUUCAUAUAAUACAGGUUGAUUAUAUUCAUCCAUAUUCCUCUUACCAACUUCCCCCAAAUUAACUCCUCCUUUUUGUUUCUUAGAAGUCACUAUCUUGGGCUGGAGAGGUGGCUCAGAGGUUAAGAGCACUGACUGCUCUUCAAGUGGUCCUGAGUUCAAAUUCCAGCAACCACAUGGUGGCUCGCAACCAUAUGUUAUGAGAUCUGAUGCCCUCUUCUCGUGUGUCUGAAGACAGCUACAGUGUAUUUAUAAAUAAAUUAAAAAAAAGAAGUCACCAUCUUAAUUAGACUAUCCAUUUAUAUUUAAAUUUUAUUCCAUGUACUUAUUUUAUGUAAGUAUAUGUAGGUGUAUGUGUCAUGGUUAAUGUGAUGCCAUCAAAGAAGAACUCCAGAGCUGGUGCUCUGCUUCUAUAUGUGAACCUUAGGGAUCAAACUUCUGUGUUACCCUUGGUGGCAUGCUAAUUUAUCUGCUGAGCCAGCUCAACAGCCCUGACUCUACCUUUCAAACAAAUGGCUUAGCACAAAGUUGUCCUGUAGCUUUCCUCAGUGUACUUAAUAAACACAAAUUCAAACUAUCAAGUUAAACUUAAGAACCAGAUAAUUUGGAUAACUAUUUAGUAUAAGCAUGGUUCAAUAUUGUGUACUCGAAACAAUUAGUACUAAUAUGAGAUUCAAUACCACUAUCUUGAAAUCUCUAUUUGUAUAUGAACAGACAUGGAGAUGUUUACAGCUAGCAAGAUGAAGUUGAAGAGAGAGAGUACAGAAAGGGGAGAAGACGGCAAGCAUUGUAAUUUCCCUUUUCUGCCUUUUUCCUCAGCCUGACUCCUAACAUAUGGAGCCUGUAUGGCCCAAAGCUAUCAGAUUCUAGGCCUGAGAUUUACAAAUACUACUGAUGUCCCUUGGAUAAAACACACAAACAGGGAUUGAAAUAAAAAUAUUUGGCCUUUGGAAAUCACAUCUUGAAAAUGUAGUCAGUUCUGUAAUUAAAUCCUAAAUCAUUUGAUGCCAUCAGUUUGGUAGCAGAUGGGAUGGUGUUUUGUUCAUCUUUCAUCCACGGACUGAGUUUCCAGAAAUCCUUAGCAGGGCAUUUCCAGAUUAUUGCCUGAGUGACAGUUACAUGUGUCUAAUAAUUUACUAGAGUCAAUGGAUUUCUUUAAAAUGAAUUCAGCGAGCAGUUAUUUAUGUAGAUAUGAAUAAUACAUUCAUAAAGGAAAGAGGAGCAGUUGGGAAAUACUUUUUCAAAUGAUGUAUCACAGUAAUGAUAAGUAAUUAUACACCAACAUACUGCUUGCUGAUAAGAUUUAACUAGCAUUAUUUUGAAAUAGCAAGGCUGUGAUUCAUAUGCUAGUGGACUCCUAUCUAAAGGGACGGUCUUCCACUACUGGCCAGGGAACAUUCACUGAGGUCCCGUGAUAGGCCAGUCAGAUUUAAAACAUUUGCCAGGGGAGAUCCUCCAAAGCUUUGAGCUUUCUUCUUUUAAUUUAAUUCUUACAUGAAAAAUUUCUCCCAGAAACAGAUGCAAUGUGCCGAUAAAGCCUGAGUUAUUGACAAUUCAAAGCAGCCAUUGGAAGAAAUUUGCCCUCAUGUUCUUACUGUAUCUGAAAGGAAAGCGAGACUUUGAAGACAAAGUUUUGCCUGAGAGAUCUUGUCCAUCUUGUUGGCUAUAGCACAUUGUUGAACCUAAGCAGGGUGGGGUUGGGUGUUCUAGUUUCAUUUCUGUUGGUGUGACUAAAUGCACUAACAACAACUUGGGGAGAAAAAUUUUGAGUUUAUCUUUUGCUGGCAUUGUUUUAACCUCACAAUUCCAGCGUAGGGUAAAUCACUGUGAGGAAGUCAAGGUAGGGUUUUGGAACAGUUAGCCAAAUCACAUGCACAGUCAAGAGUAGAGAACAAUGCAUGCAUGUUUAGUACUUAGCUAUCUUUUUCUAUUCUUAUGCAGUCCAGAACUCCAAAGCAGGGAAUGGUGCUGCUAAUGUCCAGUCUGGGUUUCCUCAUGCCAAUUAACGAAACCAAGAUAAUCUCCCAAAUCAGGCAUGCUUAUAGAUCAAUACAAUGUCAACAGCCCCUUAUGGAGACUUUCUUCCUAGGCGAUUCUAGGUUGUGUCAUGUUGGCAUUUGCAACUAACCAUCAUAAAGAAAUCUUGGCAUUUCAGUAUUAACUGGCAUGACACCAGUACCAUACACUUUAUAAACACAUCUCUCUAUUUCACGGGAGCCAGAGGAGAGAGAUGCUCUCUAUUUUUUCAUGAUAUGAUGUUUUCCCAGAUUUAGUCUUCUCAUCCUAUAGAAACCCAAUAUUCCACUGACAGAAAAGAGUCUUUAUCAUCAAAGAGUCGUUUGACUUUAUAGGAGAGAUUUGGAUUUCAAAAUUAUUUAGGAACAUGAUAUUUUUUUUACGGGGAAGGUUGGACUUAUAUUUUCAGAGAUAAUCCUCACUAGGAGUGACUUCCAAAGUUCCCUUUUGCCCUGAACUUCCAUAGUAGCUGUCAAUCUUAAACUGUCAGUCUUAUAAAUAGACACCUGAAUGUGUUAGAGAACCCAGAAAAUACUUAGUUAAUCCUUUGGAGAGUAGAUAUGUCUGCUAUGUGAAUAUCUCUUCCAAAGUUUAUCUGAGUGUUCAAUUUAUUGUAAAUUACAUAUUCUUAAGGGAAGUCUAUGGUGUUUGUUUACCUGUACACAGCUGAGUUGUUUAAGACUGUAGUUAUCUGAAUUGAAGUGUGUGAUACUCCAAAAAUUAUAGUACAGAGGUAUGCCAAUUUUCGUCUGGCUCAAAAACAGUGAUUUGGAAGAGACUGUCACAUAAGUCAGAGCAAAAUUUCGGAGGCUCUGCUAAAACAUAACUGAAGCCUGACUGAAUUCUGUCCCAACAUUUUUCUUCAUCACAUUAACACUGUGGUCUGGGAUUCAUUCAGUGUCUUAAUAAGCUCUGGUGAAAAAAAUAGGUGAUUGAGCUCUUCAUUCUAUCAGCAGGAAGGUAUGUGGAGAAAAUAGUAUCUUUUCUAUAUUCUGAGCCAUUUUGGGGGCUAAGAGGGUGUCGAGACAGGGUAUCACUAUGUAGUCCCAGCAGACCUGGAACUUACUCUUUUGAUCAGAGCUCCCUCAGAUUCAGAGAUCUGCCUGCCUCUGCCUCUCUUGUGCUGGGAUUAAAGGUACCACUACCACCACUGACUGGCUAAAAUGUGUAGGCCAGGCCAGAACUCAUGAUCCUCCAGCCUCCACACCUUUCAGAAAAUCCUACUAGCGCGUACUACCAUAACUAGCCUGAGCCAGUUUAGUGCCUAUAGUAUACAUGAUAGGUAAGAAACUGAAAAGCACAAAGAAAACCACAACAAACAAAAAUGAGAAAGCCUAGCCUAAUAGUUUGGAGAAGGCAAAGAGAUCUAGGAGGAAUAGAAACAGAGGGGUUCAUGGUACCUGAACAGGAAGAAUAAAGAAUGAAGAUGGAUUGUGGACCCAGUAGGAAGGGUGAGUAUCUGAUUCAUGGUUUCUCUGGAAGACAUCACUUUCCUGUCAAUAUUAGUUAUAUUAGUCAAAGUGAUACACUUGGGUCUUACAUUUCACAGUCAAUUUUGCAAGGCUUGGUUUAUGGGCCUGAUGAAAGCAUCAGGGCAACCCUUGGCUUCUUGGGUAAUGAAUCUGGCUAAGCGAGUCAAAACUUCCCUUGUUGCUAACAAUGUUAAUUCAAACGCAGCUCACAGGACUCUAAGAAAAUCUGACAGGAAUAUUUUACUUCAAGUUGAUAUUUGAAUACCUCAUAAAGAACAUUGUUAAUUAGUUUUAAAUGUUUUAAUUAUAAUAAAUUAAUAUAAAAAUACAAGUGGGAAAAGUACCAAUAGUCACCAUAUGCUUGAUAAAAAGAUUGCCCAUAAUUAUCUGAUUGCCAUGUAUGUAUAUGCAUGUUCAUGUGUGUUCAUGUGUGUUCAUGUGUAUGUAUGUGCAUGAAUGUGUAUGUAUGUGUGUGUCUAUGUAUGUGCUGGUGCAUGAGUCUUGAUGUGCCUAUGUACAUGUGUGUACAGAUACAUGAGUGUGUAUGUUCAGGCAUGUGUGUGUAUGUGUAUUUAUGCAUACAUGUCAUUUCUCAGGCCCCAUCUACUUUUUUAUUUUUAUUUUUAAAUUUUGAGACAGGUUCCUUCAUUGGUCUUGAACUGGCCAAGUAGACCAGGCUGGCUGGCCAAUGAUAUCCAAAGACCUGUCCACCUUUGCUUUCCCUUACAAAACUCAAAUUAUAAGCACAUUCCAUCAUGACUGGCUUUUCUUAAAAUGUGAGUUGUGAUGAUCAAAAUUAUUCUCCUGCACUUUAUCUGCUGAGCUAUUUUCCUAGCCCAAGAAUUUUCCUUUAUGAAUAGAAGGCCAUUGAGGAGCACACAGGCAUACAGUACUUAUACACAAGCCCAUUUGUGAUGUUAAAAAGGAUGGAGAUACCAUAAUGAAGUUGAAUGAAUUUGGAAUGGAAGGAAAGAAAUCCUACUUCCAUUUGUCUGAAUGAUAAAGAACAAUACUGAAAAAUAUCUAAGUAACAUGAUAAAAGCUUGAGUUCCAGCACAGCGAAGAAGUGAUGGAACUUGCUAACGUCUGAGUGUGCAUUGCAUUUGUGAGGUCUUACUGAGUCUGCUACUCAUAUUUCCAUCACUGCUCAACAUGAGUACAUGACGUGGUUUGAGAGAUCAUAUCAACUCAUAUGUUUGAAUACUUGGUUCCAGUUGAUAAACUAUUGGGGAAAAAUUAGAAGCUAUGGCCUUCUUGGAGGAGGUGCGUCACUGGAAGUCGAUUUUAAGGUUUCCAGAGACUUGUCACACUUUUGAGGGUGCUCUCUGCCUCCUGCUAGUGGAUCAGAUAAGAGUUCUCAGCUGCUGCUUUGGCCACCUGUACCUUAAUUUUACCCUCUCUCAUAGAUUCUAAUCCUGUGGAAACAUAAGCCCAACUGUUAUAAGUUGCCUUGGCCAUUGUGUUUUAUCACAGGAAUAGAAAAAUAACUAGUACACCCAUUAAAAUCAACUUUUUACAUUUUCAGUCAAUGCCUGCUUUGGAUUUUGGUGACUUGGUAUAUUAUGAUCAAAUGCACAUCAGAGGAUGAAUAUGGGUUCAAAAAACGAAAAUGAGUGAACAUGUUCUGAUAUUCCCUUCAAGGGCACAUACCCAAUAAACUGUCUUGUAUUACUUUCAAACCCCUAAAGGUUUUACUAAUUCCCAACAGCACCACAUCAGAUCCAGGCAUUUAAUGCAUAGUCCACCAUUCAAGAGCCAAAUAAUGUUGCUGACUUAACCAGGCAGUGGUUUCUUACACUACUGCUUUUCACCACCUCACUCCCAGGAGUACACUUAGCUACUUAAAACCAUUCUUGGAAACCCAUCAUUUUCAAGGAAAGUGUUAGAGCCUAGAACCCCUGCAUUCCAAGCAACCUUACUGGUUUUCUUAUCAGUGUUUGGCCCUAGACUAGUAUAGUAGUCACUGGUGACCAUAAAAAGGCUAGAAAAUGGAUUUUUUAUUGUGAUAUUCUGGCCUUCUAAGGAUUGUCAUCUGUAUCCUGUACCAAUGAUUCAGAGAACAAUAAAUACACCUAAUGGACCUGAAUGAAAUUAAAUCUUUCUCCAGUGAUUUAUAAGACAGCAUGGGAUUAUUCUUGGGAAUAUAAAUUUUCAUUUUAUAGGAAUUGAGAUGGCAGAGUACGUGUAAGAAAUUAGAAUCUUUCUGAGAUUUAUCUUUCUACAGCUUCUGAAUUUUGUUCUUGUCAUUUGAAAAUGGGAGGUUUUGACUCUAAUUGGAGGUUGAGUUCUAAAUAAGGAUCUGUAAGAAAACCUGGGAAAAAUCAGAUGGUCUGGGCCCAUUGGCAAGUCAUUUAACUUCUUGGUAGCAUGGCUUUGACAUUUUGAAAUCAAAAUGAUGUCAAGUAACACGAAAUCCAUAUCUGACAGGACCCUAACUUUUUAAAAUAUCACAAAAAGAAGCAGGAAUCGACUUAGCUAUCUUUAUCCCUGGUUGCAUUCCAUACCCGUCCACCUGAUGACCAAUCCUUUCUAUUUUGGGCUUUAAUUAAUUGAAAACUAUGCCAGAGUGUGCUUGCAUUUAGGAUUCAGGAUACUGUACACAGCCGUGUUUGCCAUAGGCACAAACAACCUUUACCACAAGGGCUGUCAUUACAACUCUCUCAGCAUUAGAAAAGCCCAGAAAAGCAAAUGUCAGAUAUUGGGUUGGGUUUGCACUGACCCCAGGAUCCUACAUGUUUCCCUGGGACAGGCAAUCCCCCAUUUUAGACAAUUGGAAACUCAGUCUGGUUUUAUGAGAAAGGAUCUGGUUAAGUGGUACACAAACUAGAGAUAACACUGACCUGAAGCAGAUACUCUGGUAAGUUUCUUCUUGUCACAAAAGGAAAUCAGACAACCUUUUGCCUCAUCCUUCUUGGAAUAUCUACCAGCUCAGCCUCCUGAUUCUGCCUGGUUUUCACCAAUUGCACCCAUUACCCAGAUUCUUCCUUCAGAUCUCUCACCAUCCUCAGAAGAGGUUGUGCGGUUCUAGAGGCCUUCAGCUUCCCCUGUUUUAUGCUGUCAUCAAAAUGCACACUAUCCUUCUUUACAUGUCAUUUCUGUCUAUGUACCAGGGUAACAAUCAUCCACAAGGGCUGAAGAAUCUCUCUGGGCAUUGCAAGCCUCAUGUCUUAAGCCAGAGCCUUAUUAGCAAAGUCUGCUUAAGUUGCUAUCUCAGUACCUUGCCCUAUAUCAGAUCUAAGACCUACUCUCUGUCAGUGUAUGCAAUAGCACUAGCUUCAUUAUGCUCCCUGAAAAAUGCAUGCAUUUCCAGUAUGAUGCUGCUAUGAUAUUAUGCUUUUAGAAAGUGAUUGAGCCUUGAGGAUUCCUUUUUCUGUGACUGCAAUCCAAAGUAUUAUAAAAUAAGCUUUCACAUAGCAUCUGGUUACUUUACCUUCUCCCUUCCACAUGGGGAGUACAUGACAGAAAGGGCUUUGCCAGAACAAAUACCCAAGAUAUCACCCUGGGCUUUACAUUCCCCAAACUCUGAGGAAUUAAUUCUUGUUGUUUAUAAAUUACCAUUACUCUAUUGCAGCAUCUUAAAUUCAAUACAGCCUUAUUCUCAGUUCUUUCUCAUUCCCUCUAUGUGUUUCCCUUUUCAUUCUCUCCCCUAAUGUCUAUUUUAUUUUCUGAAUGUGUUCAAAGACAACACAUUUGUUAAAGUUGUGCCAUCUACACUGCUCUUCUACGAAUUAGUGAGGAAUGAGGAGAAGUGUCAAUGAAGACUGUCAGAGACUGUGAGUGGUAUCAAGAAGUGAGCCUUUGGGAACAGUGUCCUAAGCCUUGGGUACCCUGCAGAAGACGACAGAGCUAGACAAAUAUUUCCUUCUUGAUCCUAAAAGGUAACAGAGGGCUUUGGAAAUAUCCCAAUCUGUGCUGGAGCACAUUUUAGAAUAUACACCUUCUCCCAUCCCCAUCCUCAUUCCGAACUGGGACACUGUUGAGAAAUUUAACCAUUAAACCUCUUUUUCUUGUUGUCUUUAACAUAACCCUGUUCUCUUUACUUCUUAGAAUUGAGCUCCAAAAGGGCCUUCUAAGGAAGGCAAAAACAUGAUAAAAGAUGUUGUGAAAUACAUCAAUUAGUCUCCAUGCAUUGUGAUUACAUGAGGAAGAGUUUGCUGCAGUGUCCUGUAAUGAGUCACUAAGCUUACAGCACACCUGGGUGCGGCAAAGCCACCAAGUAGGUACCGUGGGAGAAAAAUUGGCAAGAGGCAGGAGUACAGCUGUCGCUGGCCCACAGGCUUUGAAGAGACCACCCCCAUUCCUAGCCACCUACUACCAUCUGCUGCUCCACACAGGAAUCAAACACACAUUCCAGUGGAUGAUGCCACUGGACAAGAGCUUUAUGUGUGCCUACCCAAGCUAUUCACAUAACCACUUCCUAGGCAAGAGGGUCCCCCCACCCCCUGAGAGUGAUGGGGAUGUUAGUGGGAAGUAGCUGAGAUACAACACACAUGGUAUAAAAUAAUACCAGACACUACUCUUAGAAGAUGAGAUUAUUAAUAAGCCAGGAACCACGCUCCCCUAGGCAAAUUCUAUUACUGCUAUAUGACAUCUGGCUCCAGCUGCUUCAACACUAAUUUCUCAAAUGGGGAAACUGGAAUAAGUCCGCAGAGUUAUAUAAGACUGUCUUUGAGUUUCCAUUGCUGUGAAGAGACACCAUGACCAAGGUAACUUGUAUGAAGGAAAAUACUUAACAGGGACUAGCUUACAGUUUCAGAGAUUCAAUCCAUUAUUAACAUGUCAGGAAGAAUGGCAAGAGGCAGCAGACAUGGUACUGGAAUAGGCAGGGGUUCUACAUUUUGGUCUGAAGGCAGCCAAGAGGAGGAUCGCUUUAGCACUUGGCAGAUCUUGAGCAUAGAUACUCAAAGCCCUCUUCCCACAGUGACACACUUCCAAGAAGGUCAUGCCUCCUCCAAUAAUACCUCACCUCCUAAUAGUGCCACUUCCCUUGGGCCAAGCAUAUACAAUGUGCAACAUAACCAAUAUUCUGAGUUUGACACUUUGCC